GUACUACUCCCUUCGUUUCGAAUUAUUGUCUUGGAUUUGUCUAGAUACGGAUGUAUCUAGACUCAUUUUAGUGCUAGAUACCUUUGUAUCUAGACAAAUCUAAGAUAAGUAAUUCGGAACGGAGAGAGUACUUG
rfam:Triticum aestivum genome assembly, contig: Triticum_aestivum_CS42_TGACv1_scaffold_095840_2AL